rnacentral:rRNA from 1 species
GACAGAGGAGCCAAGCGUUGUCCGGAUUGACUGGGCGUAAAAGCGCACGCAGGCGGCCGUGCACGUGGGGGUGUGAAAAGCGCUCGGCUUAACUGAGCGAUGCCACCUCAUACGGCAGGGCUCGAGCCCGUGAGAGGUCCACGGAAUUGCCGGUGUAGUGGUGAAAAUGCGUAGAGAUCGGCAGGAACACCCCAGGGGGGAAACCAGUGGACUGGCACGGUGCUGACGCUCAGGUGCGAAAAGCGUGGGGGAGCGAACCGG